UACGAAGGGGACUAGCGUUGUUCGGAAUCACUGGGCGUAAAGCGCACGUAGGCGGAUUUGUAAGUCAGGGGUGAAAUCCCGGGGCUCAACCUCGGAACUGCCUUUGAUACUGCGAAUCUCGAGUCCGAUAGAGGUGGGUGGAAUUCCUAGUGUAGAGGUGAAAUUCGUAGAUAUUAGGAAGAACACCGGUGGCGAAGGCGGCCCACUGGAUCGGUACUGACGCUGAGGUGCGAAAGCGUGGGGAGUAAACAGG
rnacentral:rRNA from 1 species